UAGCAUUGUCGGUAGUAACGGACUCCAUA
rnacentral:sRNA from 1 species